rnacentral:SRP_RNA from 1 species
GGUCGGGCCCUGAGCAAUGGGACGGUGCGAACCUGGUCAGGCCGGGAACGGAGCAGCCAUAAGCAUGCGGUUCCAUGUCUCGGGAUUCCUGGCCGUC